UAGGGAAUCUUGCGCAAUGGGGGAAACCCUGACGCAGCGACGCCGCGUGCGGGAUGAAGGCCUUCGGGUUGUAAACCGCUUUCAGCAGGGACGAAAUUGACGGUACCUGCAGAAGAAGGCCCGGCCAACUACGUGCCAGCAGCCGCGGUAAUACGUAGGGGCCUAGCGUUGUCCGGAUUUAUUGGGCGUAAAGAGCUCGUAGGCGGUUCGGUAAGUCAGGUGUGAAAUCUCCACGCUCAACGUGGAGGCGCCACCUGAAACUGCCGUGACUCGAGUCCGGUAGGGGAGUGUGGAAUUCCCGGUGUAGCGGUGAAAUGCGCAGAUAUCGGGAGGAACACCAGUGGCGAAGGCGGCACUCUGGGCCGGUACUGACGCGGAGGAGCGAAAGCGUGGGGAGCGAACAGG
rnacentral:rRNA from 1 species